CCCGAGCCUGUGGCCGGGGGCCCCGCAGGUCAGGCGCACUGAGCAGGGCUGCAGCCGGACGCCGUGCAGGGCCGAGCCCGGGGGCAGUUCCACAUUCCCCUGGAUGCACAGGGCACGGGUGCGCAGUCCGGCCAGGGGGCGGGACCCCAGAGGGCAGCUGCGGCCCGCGCGCUCCCGACCUGCGCCCCGCCCGCCGCGCGCGCGCGCUCGCCCCGGGGCCGCAGGGGGUGGGGGCUCGGCCCGAGGCCGCCCCGCCGGCCGCCCCAGCGUGCGCGCCGCGUGCGCCUUCGGGAAGCUUCGGUGCCGCCCUGUGCGCCCCGGCGCCCUGCGGGUCCGUGCCGGCAGAGGCCUGAGAGCGGCGUCCCGGGCGGUGGGAGCCCAGCCUGUCGCGUCUGGCGAGGACCGGCCCCGAGCUCCCGCGUCGCCAGGUGAGGAGUACAGAAGAGGAAACCAUCAUCUUGUCCGGGAGGGGCUCUCAGCAGAGGCCUGUCCUCUGCCCCAAGUGAGGAGUACAGAAGAGGAAACCAUCAUCUUGUCCUGGAGUGGCUCUCAGCAGAGGAAAAGGUUAAUCUCACUGACGUGAGGAAGAUCAGGAACCUUCAAAAGGUGGAAACAAGCCAGGCGACCACCAACAGGCCAAACCUCUUACCAAUUCUGUUGUUUUCUAUGGUCCCACCAUGUUGCUCUGGGACACUUACUGAGACAGAGGAGUGACAGUAGCUUAGGGAUCAUGGCAGCAUGUCACUGUCAGCCUCUCCAGCACCUUUCUUGGGUUGUGCCGUCUGCAGUUCCUUCUUCCACACCACGUUUUGAAAACGUUGGUGCUGCUGAUUGCAACAUACUCCUACGCACUGAGCAUCAAAGACUUGGCUCACAGAAAGUCCUCAUCUGUCUUAGAUUUCCGGCAUCAAGCAUGUGGACCCCCGCCCCCUCCAAAUGCCUGAGGCUUGAGCCUGAAGGGUUCCUCCGAGGAGAUGAAGAUUUUAUUGACUUAUUUGAGACAGCGAGCGAGUGACCGAGCGAGUGAGCGAGAGAGAGCAUGGCGGGGAAGGGCAGAGGAAGAGGGAGAAGCAGGCUCCCUCCUGACCCUGGGAUCAUGACCUGAGCUGAGGGCAGAUGCUUCACCGACUGAACCACCCAGACACCCCAACAUUGCCCACUGUCUUAAGAGCUAAGGACUACAGCCAAAUAGUUCCUUUUUUUUUUUUUUUAAGUAAACUAUGUCCAUUGUGGGUCUCAAACUCACAACCCCGAGAUCAGGAGUCGCAUGCUCUACCGACUGAGCCAGGCAGGCACCCCACCAAAUAGUUCUUUUACUAACUGUGCUAGUGAGGUUCAAUUGCUAAAGCAGACUUGUAGAACCCAAAUAUUGUGUGUUGCAGGAGAAGAAUACAAUAUAGCAGCUGUCUAGCAUUAAACUGAGAGUGUGUAUCCCAGGCAAAAAGGUCUCUCUCCUUUCACACAACUUCCUAGAUGGACUUUCUGUCUUGGGUCAGGAGUCACUCGCAAAGCCCCUCAGCUUCGGGAAACCCAAAACAGAUCCUUGGCUGGGGUUUCUUAGUCCAUGACGGGCAUGUGGCAGAGGCCUCUGGAGGGUCAUCAUUCCCACGUUUACCAGUAAAUAAUGCUGAGAAGCUGGCACCAAGCUCUCCAGGACUGCUGGGACCCGUGGUUACAGAGCAACACUAUUAAUCAGUAGGUUUUAUUGCACAAGCAGAGGUCAGUGUCGUGGGAUACAUUUUCAUGUCAGCAGAAUAGCUCAGACCAAUUCCUGCUGGAACAAACCUCACAGCACCAUACUCGACUAACCAUCAUGCAUGGGCACAGUGCCACGUUCUUCAGGAUUUGCAGUGGCUUUUGUGAAGCCACGGUCUCUAUACCCAAAAUCAUUUUUGUCUCCUGGAAAAGCUGUGUGUGACUCACAGGCUCCUACUUAGCCAGGAAAUGAAAUUAUCAGAAGGUCUGAAAUGGCAGCUUUCCAUUCUUUUUUUCACCACCCUCACUGAUUUUGUCUCUAGGUAGGAAAAUGUGUCUCUGCAAAUUAAAAAUGUAAAUCCUGGUUUACCUACAUUUUGACCAGCUUGCUGAGUUCAUGAUGCAGGUGAACCAGCGUGCUUCCUGCCAAAUCGUAUUUGGUGAAAUUCGGGCAGCAGAAGCAAAUUAACGGGAAAUAUGUAAAGUGAGGGGCAGCAGGGCAGGUUCCCUUGUGCAAAGACAUAGAGGUGGGAGAGGCAGGUGCAGGAGUUGGAAUCCAGCUCUGUCUCAGAAGCCCAUUCCCUUUCCAGAAAACCAUCUGAAGCUCCCUCAGCAGUGGUGAAGGUGCCUCCUUGUCUCAGGUUCAUUGUGUGGAAGGGUACACACGAGGGUUUCAGCAUUUUGGUUAUCUGUUGCUGUGUAACAACAUUGCCACAAAUACAGCAGCUUCAGCAACACACCUUCACUAUCUCAUAGUUUCUGGGGCCAGGAACCCAAGCACUGCUGAGCAGGAUCCUCUGUGGGCUGCCAUCACCAUAUCAGCCAGGGCUGGGGUCUAAUCUGAAGGUUCAGCUGGGGAAGGAUCCACUUCCAAGCUGCAAUGCAAUUCUGACAUGAACCACCCAGAGUUAGCAGACUUCACAGGAUGAGGGUGCAGUGCCCACAAGACUGUCCUCGCUGCAGGCUCAGGUGUUCCAGAGUCACUUGCACCUCUGAACCAAUAUCUAAAAUUUUGGAGAGUCCUACUACACCUGUCAGAUUCAUUAACUUGCUAGAAGCACUCAAGGAAUUCAGGAAAGCACUAUACUUAUGAUUAUAGUUUUUCUUAUAAAGGAUACAAAUCAAGACCACCUAGAUGAAGAGACACAUGGGGGAGUCUAAGAGGGCCCCCAAAGCAAAGUUUCCUGUAUUCUCAGGAUGUGUCACCAAGCAGGAAGCUCCCCGAAUGUCCAGAGUUUUCAUCGGAAUUUCCUUACAUAGGUGUGAUUGAUUGAAUCAUUGCCCACAUGACUGACUCUGUCUCCAGCCCCCUCUCAUCCCCAGAGGUCAAGGCUGUAACCCUGUAAUCACAUGGUUGGUCUUUCUGGCAUCACCAGCCCCCAUCCUGGGGCAUCUCACUGACAUAAACCCAGGUGUGGUACAAGGCACCCACCGUGAAUAACAAAGAUGCUCCUGUUACUCGAGAGAUUCCAAGUACUUAGAGAUUACCUCCCCGGAGCCAAGGACAAAGAUCAGCCAAAUUCUUUAUUAUAUGACACAAGCCCACAUGCUUGUUGGCGGGAGUCAAUUCCUUACUGGCUGGAGACUAUUCUCAGUUCCUUGCCAAGUGGGCUUCUCCAAAAUGGGGAACUCACAUCAUCACGCAAGUGCACAAUCAUAGAAGGCAGGAAAGAGCCUGCUGUCUAGAUGGUAGUUGUAUUCUUCAUUAACACGACUGCUGAAGUGACAUCCUGUCUCCUUUGCUAUAUUCUGUAGGUUAGAAGCAAGUUUCCAAAACCAGGGGAGGGGAUUACACGGAGGCACAAAUACCAGGAGUGAGAAUAAUUGGUGGUCACAAGCCACAAUGAAGGCUCACUCAAGCCCACAAACUUGUGUAAGGUCAUGGGGGCAGUUUUGUGGAGAGAAGGGAGUGGGAGCAGAAGAGUGGCAGUCAAGAAAGGCAACCCAAGUGUCCUUCCACUGGAGAAUGGAUCAACAGAUUGUGGUAUGAACGUGCAAUGAGUAAUACUCAGCAGUAAAAAGGGAAGAAGGUACCAAUGCGAGUAACAUCCGGGAUAAACCUCAGAAACAACAUCUUCACAUGGAAGCAGCCCACACAGGAGAAUUCACGUGGUGUACUGCGUGUAUAUGAGUGCGUAUGAGGAAGGGGCAAAAGUCAUCCAAGGCGAUACAAGUCAGAAAAAGGAAUGAUCUCAGGGGAAGGGUGGUUAGCUGGAGAGUGGCACAAAGAAAACUUCUGGAGUGCUAGAAAUACUGUUUUUAAUUGGACAGUGGUUAUACCAAAGGAGAUAGGUAGAGAUAAGGUUUGUGCAUCUUACUCUAUGCAAAUGAUACCUCUUAUUUAAAAAAAAUAAAUUUUUAGAAGAAGUAAACAAGUCUUCAUUGGAGAUUUGAGGAAAGGGAUCCCCAUUUGCUUAGUGCCUCAAGGGUCCUCUCUCCAUCGUCCAUCCCCUUGUUGGAAGUUCUUCCUUCCCAGGCUCCAGGUGCUCUCCUGGCUAUGCCUUAAGGGUUGAGUACACACAGGUUUCCAGAGGCUGCUCCAUCUGGCUGGAGGGACCCUCACUUAGGGCUCUGAUGUUCAGCUCAGCAUAAGUCACUCCAUGGGGUUCCUCAGCUCUUGAGACCUGGGAUGUUUUAUCCUGAAGGGAAGCAAGGAGAAAAGGACCAAGUAUUCCCGGGAAAGAGUGUUGGAUUGUGAAGAUUUAGCAUUUGUAACAACAGUGUGGUUGACAGCUGUAUUAGAAAGAGCCUCCUGCACUUUGAGUCUUGGUGCAGUCCCCUACCCUCUUGAGGGUUGGUGGGACCUAGGGACAUGCAUCUGUCAAACAGAGUUAAGUGAAAAGGAUGGGCUGUCCUGUGUCUUCGUGUCCCAGACUAGGUGGUGAAAGACUGACUUCCAUCUUGUUCACACCUGUCUAUUUUCAGGUCCCUCACUCAUGCUGAUCAAGCCAGCUGCUGGGUUACGAUCUGUCCUAUGGAAAGGCCCACAUGGUCAGGGUGGUCUCUGGCCAGCAGCCAGCAAGGAACUGAAUCCUGCCAGCCACCACCUGAGUGAGUGAGUGUGGAAACAAAUCCAAGCCUGAACCAGCCCUGGCCAAGCCCUUCAUGCCAGCCUGUGAGACCAGUGUGAGUCACACCCAGAUUCCUGACCUGCAGACACCGUGAGAUCAUAAGUGUUGCCUUAAGCCAUUGUGUUUGGGGAUCAUUUGUUAUGAAACCAUAGAUAACUCAUACAAACAGCCACCAAAGAGAGUGUUAACCUGAAAUGUACAGAAUAGGUCAGUCCUUAAGCACAGAAAGCUAGUGGUGGUCAGGUGCUUGGGGUGGGGGUAUGGGCAUGCAGAGAGUGCUUAAAGGCUGUGGGGUUUCCUCUGGGGUGAUGAAAAUGUUCUGGAACUAGAUAAUGGUGAUUUUUGCACAACAUUGUGAAUAUUCCAACAAUUGCUAACUUGUACAGGUUAAACGGUGAGUUUUGUGUUAUAUGCAUUUUGCCACCAUUUUUAAAAAAAUUGAAGUGUAAAUGGAAACAAUAAGGGUCACUAUUGAUACCUGCAGGUUGUAGUUUGCAGGUACUUCAUGGUAGGUGGUUGCCAUAUUUUCAUAAAUAGCAUGAAGAGGUGGGGCACAUUAUCCCCAUUGUCCAGAUGAAGAAACAGAGGCUCAGGGUGGGAAAGUCACUGGCCCGAGAUUAUAACAGAUAGUUUAUAAUCAUAGCAGCUUCAGGAGCACUGAAUGCUUACACCAUGCCUGGGAUCCUACUGAUCAUUGUGUGGCUCUGAGCUCAUUAAAUCAUCCCAUUCAUCCCAGAAAGAAGGUGAUGUGCAUCCCAUGUCACAUGGGGAAAUGUCCCCAGAAAGGACAAGUGAUGGGAUGAAGGUCCCCUGGCCAGAGAAGGCACAGAAAAUUUCAGACCAGAUUGUCCUGGAAAGUAGAGCAAGGGUGGGGGUAGAGGAAAGCAGAGACCCAAACCAUUGACAAAACUGGAGGGAGUGACGGAGAGCUUGGGUUGAGGGGAUGACGGGAAAUGGCCACAGCGGAAACUCACCCAGGCAGGAGAGCAGCUCAUCAUAGCUGCGGGUGGAUCUGGAAAGGAAAAAUUCUGCUGUUGCUUCACCCCUAGGCUCCGGGGUUAAGUCUGCACGCACACACGUGUGUGCACACACCAUACAAAUAGAAAUACACACACACAUGUACCCACCACCACUUCCUUUCUCAGGCUGAAUACUUGUCCCCACUUCUUCAGGUUCCUUAGAGUGGGACCUAAGAGAAAGAGUGAAGCAUUAGAGGUAAAGGAAAUUGGUAAAGGUAAAAGGAAUCGGGAUCAUUGUGGGUAGAUGGAGGUGAGGUGCCAAGCAAGAUCAUGUGUAAACCAAAGUACCCCCCACUUACUCGACGCUCAUACACCCCUCCCUGGGGUCCCUGAGUCAUUUGGGUGCUCAGCAAAGUCUUGAGAGGUGAGGAGGGGAAGUGGUUGGGGGCAGUGUGGUCCAUGAGGAAAGGAUCCAAGGAAAGAACACUGAGUGAGAAGUGGAGGGUGGUUGUAAGAAGGGAGGACAUGGAGAGACACAGGAUGGUUGCUGGGGCUGCUUGGGGCCACAUAAAAUGUUGAGGUAAGAAAGAAGGUCUUGAGUAGUCAAGGCAGCAAUGGAGGAAGAGUUAAGUAUGGGCGUAUGGGAUCCUCUGAGUAGCUCUACCGUUUGGUCAUCUUGUCCAGAGCUGCCCCUGCGGAUAAAAGAGAGACAGGAUCAACCCUGUGGUGUUACUUUCCCAUUCUAUUUCUCCCAUUUCCUCCCAAAUAUUUAGCUGUUGUUUUCCUGAACUCACCACAUCGGGUGUAUUUCCAGAUGAAGAAGGUUCCAAGGAGGAAGAGAAAGGUGAAGAUGACAAUGAGGGUGAUCCCAGUGGUCCCUGGGGAGAGGUGAGGGGUUAAGAGGGCCCACGGUUUCCUGAGACACUCUCUGGUGCCUCAGUGUGUCUCCAUCGAUUGAGUUCCUACCACAUGCUGGAGAGCUCACUACGUUUUUUUCAUACUUACAAGUAUCCUGGGAGAGAGACAGAGUGAUGCCCAUUUUACAGAUGCAGAAGCUGAACGUCAGAGGGUUGAAGUACUAUUUCCAAAGUGGCCCAGCUACCGAGGUGGCAGAGCUGUGCCUCUGAUCCUCCCCACCUUGGAAGACCUUGUACUGAGCCACAGCCUUCAGGCAUCACCAACAGAUAGACAUCCUCAAGAAUUUUCCCAGGGGUGGAUAACUCAUAGCUGCACAAGGACAUCUCAUCCCACGGGUGAAUGACUGUAUGUCCCAGGAAGCUCGACUCUCUUACCUAGCUCUGUUUCUGCCAUCUUGGGAGACUUCCUUUCAGUUUUACCUAGAAGACGGAAUUCUUGAGUUAAGUUUUAAAUUUAAUGAAAAAUUUUUUACUCUUUUUAAAAAAAAAUUUUAAAUUUUAUUAUGUUAUGUUAGUCACCAUACAAUACAUCAUUAGUUUUUGAUGUAGUGAUCCAGGAUCCAUUGUUUUCGUAUAACACCCAGUGCUCCAUGCAGUACAUGCCCUCCUUAAUACCCAUCACUGGGCUAAACCAUCCCCCCCACCCCUCCCCUCUAACACCCUCUGUUUCUCGGAGUCCAUAGUCUCUCAUGGUUCGUCUCCCCCUCCGAUUCCCCCCCCCGUCAUUUUUCCCUUCCUUCUCCUAAUGUCCUCCAUGCUAUUCCUUAUGUUCCACAAAUAAGUGAAACCAUAUGAUCAUUGACUUUCUCUGCUUGACUUAUUUCACAUAGCAAAAUCUCCUCCAGUCCCAUCCGUGUGGAUGUAAAAGUUGGGUAUGCAUCCACUCUGAUGGCUGAGUAAUAUUCCAUUGUAUAUGUGAACCACAUCUUUAUCCAUUCGUCUGUUGAAGGGCAUCUCGGCUCUUUCCACAGUUUGGCUAUUGCUGACAUUGCUGCUAUGAACAUUGGGGUGCAUAUGGCCCUUCUUUUCACUACAUCUGUGUCUUUAGGGUAAAUACCCAGGAGUGCAAUUGCUGGGUCAUAGGGUAGCUCUAUUUUUAACUUUUUGAGGCACCUCCACACUGUUUUCCAAAGUGGCUGUACCAACUUGCAUUCCCACCAACAGUGUAAGAGGGUUCCCCUUUCUCCACACCCUCUCCAACAUUUGUUGUUUCUUGCCUUGUCAAUUUUUGCCAUUCUAACUGGUGUAAGGUGGUAUCUCCAUCAAAUUUAAAUAAAAUUUAAAACUCUAUACAUUAUUUAUUUAUUUUUUUAAAGAUUUUAUUUAUCUAUUUGACAGAGAGAGACACAGUGAGAGAGGGAACAGAAGCAGGGGGAGAGGGAGAGGGAGAAGCAGGCCUCCCGCUAAGCAGGGAGCCCGAUGCAGGGCUGGAUCCUAGGACCCGGGAUCAUGACCUGAGCCGAAGGCAGACGCUUAAUGACUGAGCCACCCAGGCGCCCCCACAUCUGGGCGCCAUUGAUAUUCGGGGCUGGAUAGUUCUUGGUGGGGAGGGGUCCUGGGCAUCACAGGGUGUUUUGCAGCUUCCGUGGUCUCUGCCUCCUAGAUGCCGGGAGCAUCCUCUAUCCCCCAUCCCCAGCAGUGACCACCAAAAAUGUCGAAAGGGUUUAUAAAAAGCUCUGGCGAAUCCCAAAGGGAAACUCUUGGGCUCCGUUUGCAGUAGUCUGUCAGUGCACCUCUAUUCAGUCAUCUCCCUGCCACCCCCCACCCCCCACUCCCCAGAUGACACCCUCCUGUCUUCCUCAGCCUGUUGCCCUUGGUGACAGUUGUCAGGGUUUGAACAGUUGCUGAAGGAACACGGGAAAGGUGGUGAUUGGGCUUGACAACAGCUUCCUGGGUCCUUCCAGUUGAGCCGUUCUGUCACUGAUGUACUCAAGCUGGGAGCAGCAUAUCAAGAAACUCAGAGGGUUCCUUAUAUGCCAAGGAUAAAGAAGAGAAAAAACAAAUGACUCACCAGUUGUGGAAUAACCUGAAAUUAUUUAAAAUGUCCGCCUUUCUACAGAGAGCAGAUCCAACCUACAAUAUUUUUCUUCCGGUUUUGUCUCUUUGAGCGUCAUGUUUUGAAGACCAUCUCAUCUGUGCUUAACCUUGUCACGUGCAAUUGAGCUGAGUUAAAGACACAGACGUGCACCCUUGGCCUUUUUAGAACCUGGAAGGCCUUAGGAGGUCAUGUAAUUCUCCACUAAUAUUUGUAAUUCAUUGUAACAAUGAGGAUAUUUACUGUUACCAUCUGAGGGGUACACUCCUCAGAUGUUCUCUGUUUCCUGGAAAGUCUGGCAUUAGGAGUGCAGCUCUUGAUAAAGCUGUUUUGCCAUGCAGAGGGGGAUGUUUGGGGUGUUCAUAAUGAUAAGAAUAGUAAAGACUUAGAUGACUUCAAUGACACUUGCUGUCCACCAGACAGUUUAGAAAGGAUUUAGGUCCUUUAACUCCUCAAAAUCUCACCAUGAGUCCCUUGUGUAGGUCCUACUCUCAGUCCCGUUUAAACAGGUACAGAAACUGAGGCAGACAGAAGCUAAGUAAUCUAUAGGAAGAUAGCUUGUUAACUAACUAAAAUCCAAAUGCUUGUAAUUACUUGCAAAACAAGAGCAGGUACACACUCCUCCAGACAGGGGGGCCAUCUACCUAAGUGACAGGUGCUCAUCCCUGUUCAAAUGGCUGUGGUUGUUUGAAUGUUCUUCCCUUUCUCCCAAUUACCUGACUUAUCCCUGGGGGGAAUGUCCUUCACAUUGACCUAGGAGGCAAUGGAGUAGCUGGAUCUUAGAUGCAGGAAAGGUUUCCCUGGACCCGUGAAUUCCCUGCCUCACUCCUGGGCUCUGUGGCCCCACCCUGGGGUAGAGAGAAAACUCCUUUACCCCGUGCUGCUGCCGGUGGUCUCCAGAUCAACCUCAGGACCUUGGAAUUUUCUUGCUCUGUCCAGGGCUCUGCCAUUCUGUAGCAAACACCCUUGCUGAGCAGAUACCCCACCGUUAUUAGCUGUCUUAGUCCCUUUGGGCUGCUCUAAGAGCAUGCCACAGGCUGGGGGGCUGAUGAACAACAGACGUCUUUUUCUCACAGGUCUGGAGACCAGAAAUCUGAGAUCAGGGCACCAGCAUGGUCGAGGGGUGGGGGGUGGGGCUCUUUUGGGUGGCAGAAGGGGCCAAGGGAGCUUCUGGGGUCUCCUUUUAUAAGGGCACUAGUCCCGUCAUGAGGACUCCACCCUUAAGACCUAAGCAUCUCCCAAAGGCCCCGCCUCCUAAUGAUGUCACAUUAGGGGUUAGAAUUUCAACAUGAAAUUGCAGGGGUGGGGGACACAAAUUUCAGACCAUAGGAUCAGAGGGUAGCUCCUCUCCCUUCUUUUAGGAACUGCUCAUUCCCCCCUACAUUCGAGUCACCCUGGAUGGUGCUGGGGUUUUUCUUGCACAGCAUUCUCUCAUGAGCAUUUCCUAGGAUCGAUCUAGAGGCUAAGCUGACCAGGACUGUUCACAGCCCUCCCCAGUCCCUUUGUCUGUCUGUCUGUGUGUCUGUCUGUUUUGAACUGGGUCUGGGAAGGAGGGUCAGAUGCUUCUCCAGGAGUAAAAUUUGUGAGCUGCUCAUAAAUUCAGCUCGUAAAAGCCAUGCUCUCUGCCCAAAAGAGGGAGCUGGUCCCCACUAAAAGAGCACCAUAAGGACACAAACAAGUGUCAGAGGGGAAAAGAAUCCGGGCAACACUCCGGUCCCUCAUUCCAGUUUCUGAAGCAGGUGGCAUCCAUGCGCUUCCCACGAUUUACUGGCCCACGAUCCCAGUGGUUUCUAGCCACGCAUAGUCCGGACUCCGUGGGACACUUGCCAGUGUCUGGAGGUGAUGUGGUUGUCGCAGUUGGCAAAGGAGACUUGUAGCAGGUGGAGGUCAGAGAUCCAGCUGAACAUCCUAUGAUGCACAGGAUGCACCGUUCUCCCCCCCUCCCCCAAAAAAGAAUUAUGCAGCAAAAAAUGUCAGUAGUGCCCGGUUGGGAAACACUGAAUGACCUCUUUAAUCCCAAGGGCUGAUCUAUUCCCCUCACUUUCCCGAGGUCACGUCAAGGUAGGUGCUUUUCACUUGCAAGCAAGUGUCUUGAAUACAGUCCUCAAAACUAUCCAUUAUAAUUGAUCGCUUACAUUCUCUCUCCUUCCUACAGAAGUUGAAUGGGUCGGAGGUGUGCAUUGCUGCCUCCCCCCCACUUGACAGAUGAGGGAAAGGCAGGCAAAGAACUGAGUGGAGGAAUAUUCACAGCAAGCGCCAGAGCUGUGGUUUUAACUCAGGUCCACUGACUUCACCUGUUGUCGUCUCCUGCGUGGCAUUUCUCAGGAGCCCCGAAUCCCGGCACCAUGAGCUUUUUGGAAAUUCCAGGUUCUCUGUUUACUGCCCUGUGCAGGCCCCACCAACUCCAGCUGCUGCCACAGCCCAGCCCCACCCGUCCAGUGGCUGCCCUCCUCCGUGACUUACCAGUGCAGAGCAGAGCCAAGAGUUGGGGCAUCAUGGCAGCACCCACAAGCCUCUUCCAAGGAUCUUCCUUCAGUCUUGCUGGUGGUGCGAAGCCAAGAUGUCCGCUUGACUCCAGGACGUGCAGGAACAGCUUUGCCCCUGGUUUUUCAGUCCUCCACUCUGCAUACCCAGAGUUUCUGUCUUCUAGUCUCUAUCAGGAAAUGACUAUUGCAACACACUCUCAAACCACUUCCCACAGGCUUGAUGCACUGAGUCCUCCCAACAGCCCAGAGGUCAGCCAUCCACUUCCAGGGCAUAGCCAUCUCUGGCGGAAAGAGGCUCUUCAGGAGAACUUAGGGAGCUGUGUUCCACAUCUGGUUGAGGUGUAGACAGAACAAGAGACAACCCAGGCAUGAUGUGCACAUGGAAAAAUCUAGAAGCUCCAGUCUGAGGGGAACAGGGCAGAAAGUGCCAUACCUCAUCGGAACCUGAGAAGCAACGAGAAGCUGUCUGGCGAAAGUCUUCCGGGGCGGGGGGUGGGAAUAAGGUGAGUGGGAGAUGGCCUCACAAAGCUCCUCACAAGCCUCUCAUCUUCUUAUGUUCCAGGAGGAUCAUAAGGCAUUGUGCCCAGAGUCAGAUUAGCUGCAGUUCAAGUGUCCAUGUGGACAUGUGAAGGGUUUCCAGGAUGCCAUAGCAGAGCCUCCCCACCCCCUUACCUUGGAGUGAACUUUUCAUAAUUCUUUAAAAGUAAGCAGUGGAUACAAGAUCUCCAGAAGGAUGCUGUUAUCGGCUGAAUGUCUGUCUCCCCAAAAUUCUUAUGCUGAAGCCCCUAACCCCCAAUGUGCUGGUAUUAGGAGGUGGGACCUUUGGGAGGUGGUUAGGUUUAGGUGAUAUUAUGAGGGUGGCGACCACGUGGUUGGGAUUAGUGCCCUUAUAAGAAGAGACAUGAGAGAAACCUUAGGUCUCUUUCUCUCCCUCCCUCUCCACCGUCCCUCUCUCUCUCCCCCCCUGCCUUGUGAGGAUACAAGAGGCCACCUGCAAGCCAGGGAGAGGGCUUUCACAAGAACCAUGCUGGCCCUCUGAUCUCGGACAUCCCAGCCUCCAGAAUUUUGAGAAGUCAAAAGUCCAACGUGGGUUGAGAGGCUGCAUUCCUUCUGGAGGCUCUAGGGGAGAAUCCAAUUCCUCGACUUCUCCAGCUUUAGGCGAGCCUGUGUUCCUUGGCUCGUGACCCUGCCUCACACUGACUCUGCUUCCAUGUCUACAUUCCCUUCUCUGACUCCGACCUCUUUCUUCUUAUACAUGAGGAUCCUUGAGACUUCAUGGAACCCAACUGACUAAUCCAGGAUAACCCCCCCACCUCAUGAUGCUAAAUUUAUUUAUUUAUAUAUUUAUUUAUUUAUUUAUUUUAAGAUUUUAUUUAUUUAUUUGACAGAGAGUGAGAGAUCACAAGUAGGGGAAGUGGGAGAGGGAGAAGCAGUCUCCCCACUGAGCAGGGAGCCUGAUGCGGGGCUCGAUCCCAGGACCCUGGGAUCAUGACCUGAGCUGAAGGCAGACGCUUAACCGACUGAGCCACCCAGGCGCCCCUCAUGAUGCUAAAUUUAAUCACACCUGGGAAGUCCCUUUGGCCACGUACAACAUUUUCACAGGUUCCAGGAAUCAGGACAUCACACGUGGCGGGGAGGGGGGCAUCAUUCUGCCCACUGCACAAGGGCAAAAGUAUGGAGCUCACUUAGAUCAUCUGCAGCAUGCUGAGCUCACUGAGCCACACUGUGCAUGUUUCCUCAGACCUAUGCCAGGCCCCAGACACACGGAGAUGCAAAAACCUGGUCCCUCUUGGGAGGAGCUUGUGGUCUAGUGUGGGAGAGAGAAAAUCCAAAUACAGUGUAAAUAUUCAGUUCAGGUACGACAAGACACUAUGGGAACACAGAUGGGCCAGGCAGCAGUUUACAGUGGAAACAGCAUCCAAUCUGAAACCGGAAGGAUGAGCACAGUGGACCAGGCGCGAGUGAGUAGAAAGGAGAGCUGGUAGCAGAUCUGUCACAGUCUCAUUAUGAACACCCUGGAAGCGCUGAGCAUUUGUGGGUGACAAAAAAAAGUAACCAUGGCCUUGGGGCACCUGGGUGGUGCAGUCAGUUAAGCAUCCAACUCUUGGUUUUGGCUCAGGUUGUGAUCUCAGGGUCGUGGGAUCACGCCCCACAUCGGGGUCUCUGCACUCAGCAGGGAGUCUGCUUGAGAUUCUCUCCCUCUCUCUCUCUGCCCCUCCCCCCUCUCUAAAAUAAAUAAAUCUUAAAUUUAAAAAAAAGGAACCACUGCCUCAAGAACAGUAAAUUGCUUUGCAAUAUUAAAUGUGAUAAUAUUCCCCUUUCUCUUCCUCAUUCAAAAGUGGAAGUGACGGGGGUACCUGGGUGGCUCAGCAAAUUGGGCAGCCGACUCUUGGUUUCUGCUCAGGUCAUGAUCUCAGGGUCCUGGGAUGAAGCUCCAAGUCAUUCUCCAUGCCCAGUGGGGAUUCUGCUUGAGGAUUCUCCCUCCCUCUUCCUCUGCCCCUUGCCAUGGUCUCAUGUGCUCUCCCUCUCUAAAAUAAAUAAAUAGGGGCACCUGAGUGGCUCAGUUGGUGAAGCAUCUGCCUUUGGCUCAGCUCAUGAUCCCAGGGUCCUGGGAUCAAGCCCCGCAUCAGGCUCCUUGCUCAGUAGGGAGUCUGCUUCUCCCUCUCCCUCUGCUGCUCCCCCUGCUUGUGCAUGCUCCCUCUCCCCCUCUGUCAAACAAAUAAAAUCUUUAAAUAAAUAAUCUUUAAAAAUAAAAACAAUAUUCUAUUACUAACAUUAUCAAUAAUAUAUAUAUUUUUUUCAUCUGGCUAACCUUGAUUCC